UACGAAGGGGGCGAGCGUUGUUCGGAAUCACUGGGCGUAAAGGGCGCGUAGGCGGCCCUCCUUGUCGCGUGUGAAAGCCCCGGGCUCAACCUGGGAACGGCGCGCGAGACGGGGGGGCUGGAGUUCGGGAGAGGAGCGUGGAAUUCCCAGUGUAGAGGUGAAAUUCGUAGAUAUUGGGAAGAACACCGGUGGCGAAGGCGGCGCUCUGGCCCGGUACUGACGCUGAGGUGCGAAAGCGUGGGGAGCAAACAGG
rnacentral:rRNA from 1 species